UACGAAGGGUGCAAGCGUUACUCGGAAUUACUGGGCGUAAAGCGUGCGUAGGUGGUUCGUUAAGUCUGUCGUGAAAGCCCCGGGCUCAACCUGGGAAUGGCGAUGGAUACUGGCGGGCUAGAGUGCGGUAGAGGAGAGUGGAAUUCCCGGUGUAGCAGUGAAAUGCGUAGAGAUCGGGAGGAACAUCAGUUGCGAAGGCGGCUCUCUGGACCAGCACUGACACUGAGGCACGAAGGCCAGGGGAGCAAACGGG
rnacentral:rRNA from 1 species